AUUGAACGCUGGCGGCAUGCUUUACACAUGCAAGUCGAACGGUAACAGGCCGCAAGGUGCUGACGAGUGGCGAACGGGUGAGUAAUGCAUCGGAACGUGCCCAGUCGUGGGGGAUAACGCAGCGAAAGCUGCGCUAAUACCGCAUACGAUCUACGGAUGAAAGCGGGGGACCGUAAGGCCUCGCGCGAUUGGAGCGGCCG
rnacentral:rRNA from 1 species